CUGAUCAAAAGUAGUCAACUCAAAUUUGGGGUCUUGAUACAGGAUUUGGAGCUGAUCAAAAGUAGUUGCGUGCUUAUUGGCCAGGAUGGAAUAAGCCAACAAGAAUUUUCAAUCAUAAGCUUAGCAUUGAGAAUUGAUCGUAUCUGCAAUCGAUCAACUGCUUUGUCGGGAUUCCUACUUUGUUUGCUUCACUUCAUCUCCUUGAUAGUUUGUACAAU